GCAAGUCGAAUGCUUAGUUUACUAAGCAUGGCAAACGGGAGAGUAACACAUUGGUAAUCUACCCUGGUGACGAGAAUAACCAGAAGAAAUUCUGGAUAAUACUCGAUAAUAGUGGGGGGUCAUAUGACAUUCCUACUUAAAGUUCCGGCGCCCCGGGAGGAGCCUAUGGCCUAUCAGCUUGUUGGUGAGGUAAAAGCUCAACAAGGCAAUGACGGGUAGCGGGUGUGAGAGCAUGAAC
rnacentral:rRNA from 1 species